rnacentral:lncRNA from 10 species
GGCGAGCUCCCUGUAAAUAAUCCCUGCGGUCCCCGGGAGAGGCGAGUUUACCCGCGGCCGCCCUCGAAAAGUCAAAUUCAACGCAGGAUCCGUCCCAAACGGAGCCGCCGCCGGCCCUACCAGGGCACUCCAGGCAGGGACCGGCCGCUCAGGGAGUACCGCGGGUGUAGGUCCCCACAGCUACCCGCCUGGAGCGAGGGGCGCCCGGGCAACCCUUAAAUUCGCCUUUGCUACGAGGACCCCACGGAGGAGCUGGCCAGGAGGGAGCGGCCAGCCGCCACCAGGGCGAAGGUUUUGAGGGCCUGGUUGGUUGUGCGGCGCGCUCGGUCCCCGGCCCUCGACCCCACGCACACGCGCGCCCAGCCCGCCUUUCUCAUCAGCUGGCAAUCAGGAUUCCCAGGCGCAGGCGGCUGGCGACCCAGCCCUGUGCUCCAGCCUCAGAGGCUCUAACCAUGAGCGCUGCAAGCCUGGUUGCGCUCCGUGAAUCCCAGCUGGGGAAAAAACUACAAGUGGCAUGAAUGGAAGCAGUUCCAGUAAUCCCCCCCUCAAACACCCUGACACACUUCCGGCUGGGACUCCCAAAUACCAGCGAGGCUGCCAAGCCGCGCGGAUACCGACUGGGUGCCCCUUCCUGCACCCGCGCCUGGAAGAGGGAAGUGGCCGACACAAUGAACUCCGAAAUGGCCCCGUCCUGUCCGCCUCAUCUCCCUCCCCCUAAUAUUUUCCUUGCCCCAUAAAUUCCUCUAGGUCAUGCCCACCCCCACCACAGUCCACCGUGUCCUAAAUACCCCGCAGUCCGCCAGGCCUCUGAGAUUUUCAUUUAAAAAAUUAACCCUGGAGGAAACCCUGGCUCCCAAUUUUAAGUGUCUGCAAAUGGGCUGGGCAUGUCUGGAUGCCUUUUCCACGUUUUAUGCCUGAGAAGACACUGAUUAUUUCAGUAUUUUUUAAGUAAAAAAGCUGUUCCUUUAAACAGCCUUAGCCCCAAAAUAAGAGAGUUACUGAACAAUUAGCAGGCGUUGAGUGUUAAGCAGAUGUUACUGGUGCCUAGAAAGCGGAGAAAAAUCAGAAAACCAAAUAUUGUCUUCCUUCAGCCCAAAGGUUUGGAGCCAGAAUAGUCUGACUUUUUUGUCUGCUUUUAUUUUCGAAGUGAAAGAGAUUGCGUAUGCAUAAAGAAAUAAUAAAUGAGUAUAAUUUAAAGCGGCCCCUUCUCGACUGAGAUUUCUGAAACUGUGAUCUCUGAAAUAAAUCCAAUGCCCUGGUCCAGAAAAUGGCAGGGAGGAGUUGAAGGGAAUGGGGUGUGUGGUCCUUUCAGACAGCAGGUCGGUGGCUGUGCAACGAAAGAGUUCCUGGGCCUCCAGUCCAGGCAGGGAAAGGAAACAGCUUUGUGGGCACGAAUCUGUAACUGUGUGUGUUGGGAGUAGGGAGAGAUAGUUUGUUUUCUGUUUUCUGUAGGGAAAAUGGUCAGACUGGCUCCCAUCUGUAGACUACAAUUUGGAACGAUGACUCAAGUUUAUAUCAAUGGCUCUGGAAUUUGGGAUUCUUUUUGCCCAUUUAAAACAUACUGGCUCUUGGAAGGGUCCCCUUCUCCAGCACCCAGCUGCACAAAGGUGCUGUAUGGAACAUAUUUUGUACCUAAUGGAAGCCACUAGUAAGCAAGCAGUCAAGCUUUGCCCUAGCCAGUCUCCCUCAAUGCGGUCAAACCCCAAGCUGUGACCGGCAGGCCGGGAAGAGCCAGCUAAGAGCUUCCCAGCGAAUGGCCAGGCUCCAGCGAGGCUGGUUGGGCCUCAGCUCCAGUCCCCAGUGAGGCUGGCGAAGGCCUCCCUGCCCUCGAUAUGGGCACACAAAGCUGCAGCGAAUGUCCCCUAAUCAGAUCUCCUAGUCAGCCGUUAGCGACAGGCGAAGAAACGCAAGGCUGCCGCCAUCCGGUCGUGAUCAUAACCGAGGCCUUGUCUGCAGAGUAACACACCAGGCCCAAACCCACCGCCCUCGGCAGCCGCCCCACGCGGGCCCUUCCUCGGCAGACUUCCCAACCUCUACUUGAGCCGCAGAGGAAAGUGAGACCCCCUAGGCUCUCCUGAAGCCAGCUCUGGGCCCCUCCCCAAGGAUGCUUUGGGAAGGAGAUAAGGAGGUGAGAUAGAAUCUGGCAGAGACGGAAGAUGAAAAAAAGACCAACGGAAGAAAAGAAAGCAGGAAGGAGCAAAGGAAAGAAGAAAAAAAGAAAGAAGAGAUAAAAGAGGAAGGGAAGACAGGGAAAAGAAGGAAGAAAAGAGAGGCGACUCCUAGCAGCGGCCGAGCUUACAGAGAGAAGGUUACAAGAGAAUGGCAGGAGGUCCCUGGGCAGGCGCAGGCCUCCAGUGGGAGGCUCAGGAUGGAAGCGGGCGCCCCUGACCUUGAAUGGCCCAAAGCCCAGAAUUCCUACCACGCCCCCGGCGUCCGCGAAGGAGCAGCCAACCUAACCCUACCUGCUGUGACCAGGUGGAGGUGUGUGGUGGAAGGGGAAAGCCGGCCGGCUGGCAAAGCGCUGCGGAGAAAGACACGAGGCUCCUGAGCAGGGAAAGCCGAGGUUGCCACCGCAGGCCUGGCACGACCAGGGCCGUGAUGCCCCGCCCGGCCCGACCCCCGCGCGCAGAGGUACCUGGAGACGAUUUCAACUGAAGUAAUGAAGGCAGUGUCGUGCUGUCGAGAGAAAGGUGGAUCCCAACAACAGGAAACUACCUAAAUCACCGACCAGUUCUGGUGCUGCCCGCGAAGGGCUGCCUCGCCCGCCGCCGCCGCCGCCUCCGCCGCUGCCGCCGCCGCCAAGGAGAGAACCCUGCCAUCGCGCCUGGCCCGGCCCAGCCCAGCCCCUAGGCAACCUGCGCCCGCCAGUGCAACAGAGUGCCCCAGGCGGCCGCAAAUGCGUCAAGGAAGGGGAAGCCACAGGCCCCAGUAAGCCAAAGUCAAGCCCGUUUGCCAACCUGCAUGUCCAUGCCUGUAAGCCCUUCUCUUGGCCAAGGAAGAAAGGAAGAAAGAAAAAAGAAACCCAGG